GUGCCAGCAGCCGCGGUAAUACGGAGGGGGUUAGCGUUGUUCGGAAUUACUGGGCGUAAAGCGCACGUAGGCGGAUCAGAAAGUUGGGGGUGAAAUCCCGGGGCUCAACCCCGGAACUGCCUCCAAAACUACUGGUCUAGAGUUCGAGAGAGGUGAGUGGAAUUCCGAGUGUAGAGGUGAAAUUCGUAGAUAUUCGGAGGAACACCAGUGGCGAAGGCGGCUCACUGGCUCGAUACUGACGCUGAGGUGCGAAAGUGUGGGGAGCAAACAGGAUUAGAUACCCUGGUAGUCC
rnacentral:rRNA from 1 species